UGAGGAAUAUUGGACAAUGGGCGCAAGCCUGAUCCAGCAAUGCCGCGUGCAGGACGAAGGCCUUCGGGUUGUAAACUGCUUUUGUACGGAGCGAAAAGGUCUGCCCUAAUACGGUGGGCUCAUGACGGUACCGUAAGAAUAAGCACCGGCUAACUACGUGCCAGCAGCCGCGGUAAUACGUAGGGUGCGAGCGUUAAUCGGAAUUACUGGGCGUAAAGCGUGCGCAGGCGGUUAUAUAAGACAGAUGUGAAAUCCCCGGGCUCAACCUGGGACCUGCAUUUGUGACUGUAUAGCUAGAGUACGGUAGAGGGGGAUGGAAUUCCGCGUGUAGCAGUGAAAUGCGUAGAUAUGCGGAGGAACACCGAUGGCGAAGGCAAUCCCCUGGACCUGUACUGACGCUCAUGCACGAGAGCGUGGGGAGCAAACA
rnacentral:rRNA from 1 species